UACAGAGGGUGCAAGCGUUGUCCGGAUUUAUUGGGCGUAAAGAGCGUGUAGGCGGCUAUACAGGUCCGCUGUGAAAACUCGAGGCUCAACCUCGAGACGUCGGUGGAAACCGUAUGGCUAGAGUCCGGAAGAGGAGAGUGGAAUUCCUGGUGUAGCGGUGAAAUGCGCAGAUAUCAGGAAGAACACCCGUGGCGAAGGCGGCUCUCUGGGACGGUACUGACGCUGAGACGCGAAAGCGUGGGGAGCGAACAGG
rnacentral:rRNA from 1 species